rnacentral:rRNA from 1 species
UACGAAGGGUGCGAGCGUUAUUCGGAAUCACUGGGCGUAAAGGGUGCGUAGAUGGUAUGUUAAGUUCGUUGUUAAAGGCUCCGGCCUAACUGGAGUAUUGCGAUGAAAACUGGCGUGCUAGAGGGUGAGAGAGAGAAGUGGAAUUCCUGGAGUAGCGGUAAAAUGCAUGGAUCUCAGGAGGAACACCAAUGGCGAAGGCAGCUUCUUGGCUCAUUCCUGACAUUGAGGCACGAAAGCGUGGGGAGCAAACAGG